rnacentral:rRNA from 1 species
CGAAGGGGACUAGCGUUGUUCGGAAUCACUGGGCGUAAAGCGCACGUAGGCGGAUAUGUCAGUCAGGGGUGAAAUCCCGGGGCUCAACCUCGGAACUGCCCUUGAUACAGCAUGUCUUGAGUCCGAUAGAGGUGGGUGGAAUUCCUAGUGUAGAGGUGAAAUUCGUAGAUAUUAGGAAGAACACCGGUGGCGAAGGCGGCCCACUGGAUCGGUACUGACGCUGAGGUGCGAAAGCGUGGGGAGCAAACAGGAUU